rnacentral:rRNA from 1 species
AAUAAAAUUCUAGAUAGAUGACUGAUAAUGACAAUCUUCUAUUUAUAUGUCUUGACCAAAUCUUGUGCCAGCAGUCGCGGCAAUACAAGGGAGACUAGUGUUAUUCAUCUUUAUUAGGUUUAAAGGGUGCCUAGACUGUAUUUCUAGCCUCAAAAAGGAACAGAUUUACUAGAGUUUUAUGUGUGAGGUAGAUAUUAGAACUAUUGGUGUAGAGAUGAAAUUUUUUGAUACUAAUGGAACGGAUAACAGCGAAAGCAGACCUCUAUCAACAAACUGACGUUGAGGAACGAAGGCUUGGGGAGCGAAUAGGAUUAGAUACCCUAGUAGUCCAGGCAGAGAAUUAUGAAUGUUAUAGGCUAAAUGAAAAAUUAGUGUAUAAAUGAAAGUGUAAGCAUUCCACCUCAAGAGUAAUGUGGCAACGCAGGAACUGAAAUCAUUAGACCGUUUCUGAAACCAGUAGUGAAGUAUGUUAUUUAAUUCGAUAAUCCUCGAAAAACCUUACCACAAUUUGAAUAGUAUUUAAUUAAAUGUU